UACGUAGGGUGCAAGCGUUGUCCGGAAUUAUUGGGCGUAAAGAGCUCGUAGGCGGUUUGUCGCGUCUGCUGUGAAAACUCAGGGCUUAACCCUGAGCCUGCAGUGGGUACGGGCAGACUAGAGUGUGGUGAGGGAGAUCGGAUUCCUGGUGUAGCGGUGGAAUGCGCAGAUAUCAGGAGGAACACCGGUGGCGAAGGCGGAUCUCUGGGCCAUAACUGACGCUGAGGAGCGAAAGCAUGGGUAGCAAACAGG
rnacentral:rRNA from 1 species